CACCUGCAUGACCAACCAGGGCCGGGGACAAACUGCAACUGAGGGGAAGAAAAUAUGACCAUACUUAAACCUGCUGAGAGCUGACUUUUGAUGAGGCCACGACGCUCACCGGUUCAAUCAUCACACACUCAAGAAUAACAGGUCAUUUCACUGAGAAAAGAGCUGGGUUUUCUCCAGCACUUGCAACUUACAGCUUCAAAUACGUACCACAUGGAGAGGAUUUCCAGAAAACUACAGAGUGGCUGCUAUAAACACCUAGUGCCUGGGA